rnacentral:lncRNA from 1 species
ACCUUGACUCAUUUGUUGGGUUUCUUGGGGAUUUUAUAUACUUAGGUUUAAUUAGAACUUAGCAACCUGACUUUAAUUGACCUAUGUGCUUGACAAUGAGCAACUCUCUUUCAUCCCAUAAAAACCCCCUAACCUUAACUAAUGUGGGAUACUAUUCCAGAUCUUCGAAUGAUGCCCAGAGACAUGACCACUGUGCUCGCUAGUUUUCUUCUGAAAGGACUAAAUUUAUCUCUGCUUUUAGCGUUUUACUAUAGCUUAGUUUAAUGAAAUAAUUUCCUAUAUUAAUUACAAAAUGCACUAUGUAAAACCAUUGUGUUUUGCAGGCACAAGGUUGAUUGGAUGCUAGUACGCUCAUCUUAAUGAAGAGCUAUCUUCAAAUAUAAACAAUUUG